UACGGAGGGCGCAAGCGUUGUUCGGAAUUACUGGGCGUAAAGCGCGUGUAGGCGGUCUGGUAAGUCGGUUGUGAAAUCCCCGGGCUCAACCCGGGAACUGCAUCCGAAACUUCCAGGCUCGAGUUCCGGAGAGGAAGGCAGAAUUCCCAAUGUAGGGGUGAAAUCCGUAGAUAUUGGGAGGAAUACCAGUGGCGAAGGCGGCCUUCUGGACGGUGACUGACGCUGAGACGCGAAAGCGUGGGGAGCAAACAGG
rnacentral:rRNA from 1 species